rnacentral:rRNA from 1 species
CCCUUAGACGUUCUGGGCCGCACGCGCGCUACACUGAACAGUUCAACAAGUCUUAACCUUGGCCGAUAGGUCUGGGUAAUCUUUGAACGCUGUUCGUGAUUGGGAUAGACCUUUGCAAUUAUGGGUCUUCAACGAGGAAUUCCUAGUAAACGCAAGUCAUCAGCUUGCAUUGAUUACGUCCCUGCCCUUUGUACACACCGCCCGUCGCACCUACCGAUUGAAUGGUCCGGUGAAAUCUCGGGACGGCGGCUUGGUCGCUUGCGUCCGACUGCUGAAACUUGAUUAAACCAUAUCAUUUAGAGGAAGGUGAAGCCGUAACA